rnacentral:rRNA from 1 species
GACGAACGCUGGCGGCGUGCCUAAUACAUGCAAGUCGAGCGGACCGACGGGAGCUUGCUCCCUUAGGUCAGCGGCGGACGGGUGAGUAACACGUGGGUAACCUGCCUGUAAGACUGGGAUAACUCCGGGAAACCGGGGCUAAUACCGGAUGCUUGAUUGAACCGCAUGGUUCAAUCAUAAAAGGUGGCUUUCAGCUACCACUUACAGAUGGACCCGCGGCGCAUUAGCUAGUUGGUGAGGUAACGGCUCACCAAGGCGACGAUGCGUAGCCGACCUGAGAGGGUGAUCGGCCACACUGGGACUGAGACACGGCCCAGACUCCUACGGGAGGCAGCAGUAGGGAAUCUUCCGCAAUGGACGAAAGUCUGACGGAGCAACGCCGCGUGAGUGAUGAAGGUUUUCGGAUCGUAAAACUCUGUUGUUAGGGAAGAACAAGUACCGUUCGAAUAGGGCGGCACCUUGACGGUACCUAACCAGAAAGCCACGGCUAACUACGUGCCAGCAGCCGCGGUAAUACGUAGGUGGCAAGCGUUGUCCGGAAUUACUGGGCGUAAAGCGCGCGCAGGCGGUUUCUUAAGUCUGAUGUGAAAGCCCCCGGCUCAACCGGGGAGGGUCAUUGGAAACUGGGGAACUUGAGUGCAGAAGAGGAGAGUGGAAUUCCACGUGUAGCGGUGAAAUGCGUAGAGAUGUGGAGGAACACCAGUGGCGAAGGCGACUCUCUGGUCUGUAACUGACGCUGAGG